ACUCCUACGGGAGGCAGCAGUGGGGAAUCUUAGACAAUGGGGGAAACCCUGAUCUAGCCAUGCCGCGUGAUCGAUGAAGGCCUUAGGGUUGUAAAGCUCUUUCAGUGGGGAAGAUAAUGACGGUACCCGCAGAAGAAGCCCCGGCUAACUCCGUGCCAGCAGCCGCGGUAAUA
rnacentral:rRNA from 1 species